rnacentral:rRNA from 1 species
UCGCCUCAAGAUGAGACAUCUUUUAAGGGUCGUUGGAGAUGACGACGUUGAUAGGCUACAGGUGUAAAGCUGGUAACAGCAUAGCCGAGUAGUACUAAUUACCCGUAGAUUUAUAGCC